CCCGGACCUUGUACACACCGCCCGUCAAGCCAUGGAAGUUAGGAGGACCUGAAGACAGUUGCUGCAAGGCGCUGUUUAGGGUUAAACUGAUGACUGGGGCUAAGUCGUAAACAAGGUACC
rnacentral:rRNA from 1 species